GCUCGCGGCGCGCGGCCCCCCGGGGGGGGCGCGUCCCGACGAGCUCCGAACAACCCUCUGGGCGCGGCGAGCGCCAAGGAAUAGAAGCGGAAGGGGCGGCGGCCUCACCCGGUGCGAGCGCGCCCCGGCCGGGGACGCAGCAGCGGAGUGGGGAUCCGCCGCCCGUCUGUGAACACCUCUGAGACGACUCUCGGCAACGGAUAUCUCGGCUCUCGCAUCGAUGAAGAACGUAGCGAAAUGCGAUACUUGGUGUGAAUUGCAGAAUCCCGUGAACCAUCGAGUCUUUGAACGCAAGUUGCGCCCGAGGCCACUCGGCCGAGGGCACGCCUGCCUGGGCGUCACGCCACCCAUCGCCCCCGACGCGGCAUUCCCACGCCCGGCCGGGGAGCGGAGACUGGCCGUCCGUGCCCGAGUCCUCGGAGCGCGGUCGGCAGAAAAGGAGGGCACCGUGCGGCGCGGCGCGGCGUGUGGGGGUUUGAGAGGCGAUUCGUCGCCGAUCGUACGUCGCGCCCGCAUUCCGCCGCGCGCAGUGUCACCCGUGGGACCAGACCCGCCCGCAGCCGCGGGCGCUCGGACCGCGACCCCAGGUCAGGCGUGGCCACCCGCUGAAUUUAA
rnacentral:rRNA from 1 species